rnacentral:piRNA from 1 species
UGGAUAAAUGUGUCAGAUUUGCUGCAGCUGG